UUGGCUCUUGCGGUACAUGUGACAACUGUCCUCAUCUGCAUAUGGACAGGUACGCUAUGGUGAGCGGGGUAGAGAAGUUACGGGGCUGGCACCGUGUGAAUGGAGUUUUAAAGAUCGUCGAGAAAUCUCCUAAGUAGCCCUAGGACAUCGUUAGUCUACAGCAAGAGGACUACUGUUUCAUACCGCCCCUUGACUUCGGAAAAUAGCUCAUUGUAAUCAACAGAGACAGGCACCCCUCACUGUCAGUCUGCCUGCUGUGUCCCCAUUGGUCCAGAUGUGAGAGCAGAGUCCAGCAGUGUCACCUCUAACCCUCAGGGCCCGUCGUCAUGAAAAUGGUGUUGUCGUUACCAAGGCCGUCGUGGGGGUUGUGGUCUGUGUUAGUCCCAGGCCUGGCCCUACUGCUGUGCCUGGCCCUGGUCCUGAUGGGCUGUGUGAUCAGGAAGAAGAGAAGGAUGGAGGGAAUGUAUCGGCCCAGUGCGGAAGAGAGCAAACAGACAGGACCACGGGGGGCUGAGAGACCAGGCCUGCCCCUGCCCAAGGAGGAGAGACUCAUCUGAUACCCGCACUCUAGCCUGGUCGCUACACACACACAAACUCUCUUUUCCUCCCUCUCUCUCACUACCAUUACCUCACUCUCCUCUACCCUGUACAUGAAGCCAGAAUGGGUUAUUAGUAGUUAUGUGUUGUGUGAAGUUAUCUGUAGAUGAAGUGUCUUGUUAAAUAUGCCUGAACAUGCCUGGUGGAUGUGUCAUGUUCUCUCCAGUUUCUCCAAAUGUGCUGAUGUUGACAUCAGUGUGUCAACCGGUGAAUGCUGAAUGCCCUGUCAGGGGUGUGUUGUUUACCUGUAGGUGGACUAGUUGUUGACAUGUUUACCUGUAGGUGGACUAGUUGUUGACAUGUUUACCUUUAGGUGGACUAGUUGUUGACAUGUUUACCUUUAGGUGGACUAGUUGUUGACAUGUUUACCUGUAGGUGGACUAGUUGUUGACAUGUUUACCUGUAGGUGGACUAGUUGUUGACAUGUUUACCUGUAGGUGGACUAGUUGUUGACAUGUUUACCUGUAGGUGGACUAGUUGUUGACAUGUUUACCUGUAGGUGGACUAGUUGUUGAUCAUACAGAGAAAAGGGAAUUUUAAAAGUGCCUCUAUAUGCAAAAUGUCUCUUUAUUAUGGCAGUUAUACUGUUACAUGUGAACAAACUAUGAUUGAAGUGUAUCCCGUGUAUAAAGCAUUAGUGUGUGUGUGUGUGUGUGUGUGUGUUUUAUAUCUUGAAAAUGAAGAGAAGAAUGGUAAGACACUAUGAAUGAUUUCUAAUGUCCUUCUGAUGAUAUUAUCCAUGUGAAAACAAUAAAACUCCUCUCAAAAAGUAUAAAACUUCCAUUUAUUCAGUGCAUUUAAUAUCAUCCAGGAGAAAAAUAUUGAAUUUAGUUUAAAAAAAUAAAAUAAAAUAUCUUCAAGUGUGUAUUCAGUGCAUUGAGUUAAUUUGUUCAUGUUCCACAAGCUCCACCUGCUGGUCAUCUAAGGACAAAACAACCAGUGACAUCAGUCAGAGGGAUUGGACAGAACUGGUUCCUGAAUGUCAUGUGACAUGAUCAGUGGGUUAUUCAACUGGGGUGUGAAGUACUUAAGUAAAAAUACGUUCAAGUACUUUUUUUUUUUUUUGGUAUCAAAACAUUACUUUACUAUUUUUGACAACUUUUACUUCACUACAUUCUUUAUGAAAAUAAUGUACUUUUUACUCCAUACAUUUUCCCUGAUACCCAAACGUACUUGUUACAUUCUGACAGGAAAAUGGUCCAUUUCACGCACUUAUCAAGAGUACGUCCUUGUUCAUCCCUACUACCUGAUCUUGCCGACUCACUAAACACAAAUGCUUCGUUUGUAAAUGAUGUCUGAGUUCCCCUGGUAUCUGUAAAUAUAUAUUAUUAUUAUAAACAGAAAAUGGUGCCGUCUGGUUUGCUUAACAUAAGGAAUUUUAAAUUAUUUGUACUUUUAAUGCUUAAGUAAAAAAAA